rnacentral:rRNA from 1 species
GACGAACGCUGGCGGCGUGCUUAACACAUGCAAGUCGAACGGAAAGGCCCUGCUUUUGUGGGGUGCUCGAGUGGCGAACGGGUGAGUAACACGUGAGUAACCUGCCCUUGACUUUGGGAUAACUUCAGGAAACUGGGGCUAAUACCGGAUAGGAGCUCCUGCUGCAUGGUGGGGGUUGGAAAGUUUCGGCGGUUGGGGAUGGACUCGCGGCUUAUCAGCUUGUUGGUGGGGUAGUGGCUUACCAAGGCUUUGACGGGUAGCCGGCCUGAGAGGGUGACCGGCGACAAUGGGACUGAGGUACGGCCCAGACUCCUACGGGAGGCAGAAGGGGGAAAUAUUGCACAAUGGGCGGAAGCCUGAUGCAGCAACGCCGCGUGCGGGAUGACGGCCUUAGGGUUGUAAACCGCUUUCGCCUGAGACGAAGCGUGAGUGACGGUAAUGGGUAAAGAAGCACCGGCUAACUACGUG